rnacentral:rRNA from 1 species
AGAGUUUGAUCAUGGCUCAGGACGAACGCUGGCGGCGUGCCUAAUACAUGCAAGUCGAGCGAAUCGACGGGAGCUUGCUCCCUGAGAUUAGCGGCGGACGGGUGAGUAACACGUGGGCAACUUGCCUAUAAGACUGGGAUAACUUCGGGAAACCGGAGCUAAUACCGGAUACGUUCUUUUCUCGCAUGAGAGAAGAUGGAAAGACGGUUUACGCUGUCACUUAUAGAUGGGCCCGCGGCGCAUUAGCUAGUUGGUGAGGUAAUGGCUCACCAAGGCGACGAUGCGUAGCCGACCUGAGAGGGUGAUCGGCCACACUGGGACUGAGACACGGCCCAGACUCCUACGGGAGGCAGCAGUAGGGAAUCUUCCGCAAUGGACGAAAGUCUGACGGAGCAACGCCGCGUGAACGAAGAAGGCCUUCGGGUCGUAAAGUUCUGUUGUUAGGGAAGAACAAGUACCAGAGUAACUGCUGGUACCUUGACGGUACCUAACCAGAAAGCCACGGCUAACUACGUGCCAGCAGCCGCGGUAAUACGUAGGUGGCAAGCGUUGUCCGGAAUUAUUGGGCGUAAAGCGCGCGCAGGUGGUUCCUUAAGUCUGAUGUGAAAGCCCACGGCUCAACCGUGGAGGGUC